GUGGUCGGUCCGUUCGACUUCAUUUGGCAUACGAACAGCAUUAGUCUAAUCUGUUCAGUAAGCCCUAUAUACUGAACCAUAGAGGGGAAAAGGCACAAACAAAGCCAAAAUAUUAGGAUUGAAGUGGGUGCAGAGGGUAACAGAGGCUGUAUUGGAUAGAGGGGAUAUUAGGAUUUUAGUGGGUGCAGAGGGUAACAGAGGCUGUAUUGGAUAGAGGGGAUAUUAGGAUUUUAGUGGUUGCAGAUGAG